GUUUCCGUAGUGUAGUGGUUAUCACGUUAGCCUAACAUGUGAAAGGUUCCUGGUUUGAAACCGGGCGGAAACA
rnacentral:tRNA from 1 species